rnacentral:lncRNA from 1 species
AUUUUUAAGAACAAUUUAUUAUAAAAGAUUUUAUCCAACUGCAUUUCCAGUGGGUAAUGUGCCUGGAGAGGUGUGGGGGUUGGUGAUCAGGCCGCUGCUACAAUCUGGCAUUUGGGAAAUGGCAUCAGGUUAUCUCCACUUAGUGACAUUGGGCUCAACUGAUCUUAUCAGCCUUUCCAAAGACUGCUGUGUAAUAGUUGAGGGUGAGAAUAAAAUAUGUUUUAGUCAGCAGAUUCAAAACUACUAUAGCAGGCCGCCUCCUCCAUGUCUUUUCCUCCCUCCUUCCCUCCCUCUUUCCCUCCCUCCCUUUUCUUUCUUUUCCUUCCUUCCUUUCUUUCUCUCUCUCUUUCUCUUUCUUUCUUUCUUUCUUUCUUUCUUUCUUUCUUUCUUUCUUUCUUCCUUCCUUCCUUCCUUCCUUCCUUUCCUUUUCUUCCUUCUUUCCUUCUUUCUUUUCUUUCUUUCUUUCUUUCUUUCUUUCUUUCUUUCUUUCUUUCUUUCUUUCUCUCUCUUUCUCUUCCUCUCUUUCUUUUUCUUGCCGUCUUUCUUUUCUGCCUUUCUUCCUCCCUUUCCUUCUUUCUUUUUCACCCUUAUGUUUCUUUACAGGCAAAGAUAAAGGACAAAUCAGUUUUCCUUAAUGAAUAAAUGACUCUAUGCAAGAGAAAGGGGGAAUGAUCAUUUAAUAACUUUACAUUAUUUCCCCACACCUCCCUUAUUUCUUUAGUCCCAAAGUGAACGUAAAUUUCUGUUGGCUGGUAUAAUUUUUUGCCUGGCUCCAAAAUGUUGUCAUCAAUUCUUGAAGGUUUGCAGCAAGUUUAUAUGUCUUUUGUCAUCCAGCACAAUUCAUGCCUGCUUUUUCCUCCUGUGGCUUCCAUACUAGGGAGGAUUAAAGCCUAUUUUAGCCUAAGCAAAACAAAGUUAAGAGGGUAAAAUAUGCAGCAUGCAGAAUCAAGUAAUGCAACAAUGCACUCAGAAGCCAAGGGCUUACUCUCCUCAGCUAAUGCACCAUUUCAAGUCUCUGUCACUGGCCUUCUUGCACAUAGAAGGUAUAUGAUAACUUUGAAAGAGAUCGAAUGGAAUUUUACAUUGACAGUGUCGUUUUGGUGGUUUAAAGUUUAGAUGGAGUUGUCAAACCAUUAUCGUGGCUCUGCAUCAUAAUCUCUAAAAGAAAAUUACUGUAUGUGAAAUUAAAAUGAAUAGUUUCUGAUUUUCCCAUCUCUUUUCUAUUCGUGCCUUUAGGGGGCCUUUAAGGACUAGAAGGCAGAAUAUUAUGAAAGGAGAUAGAUAUAUUUAUUCUACUCAUGAGAAGGCCCAAUGCUCUUGGCUUCGCCGCCUGUGAAUCAUCAUGUCUUUCCUCCCUUGAAGGAUAAAUAUGGCAUUCAUUCCAACCCAUUUAGCCCAUUAUUCUUUUGUAUAUAAAAUAGGUCCAA